UCAAAGAUAAAAUGAGUAUUUAAUUCAGUUUCAGAAAAAAAGGGUACAUUACUUCGAUGAGAAAGCAUAAAAUUAAGAGGCUUUUCUGGAAAUCCAAGAAAAAGAAAUAACCAUUAAUAUGUUCAAUGAUAAUUUUCUGGAUCUUCCUCGUGUCCAAAGCUAUAUAUUUUCUCCUCAAAAGCAGCUGCUCCAAGAACUAACUAGCCCUCUUUAUCUCCCUCUAGCUGGGACAGACUAAUUCCCCUCCACCCCCACCUCUCUUCUUUCAAUAACACUGUGUAGGUGUUAAUGGCCUGGGCUCUCACCAAUGAAGAGAAUUGUCCUUUAAGCCAGCAACCCACAGAGCUGGCAUUGUUUCCACUGUCUCAGGAAGAAGGAGCCAAAAGCUGACCCUCAGCACAAAUCAAAGCCCAAUAUGGAGAGAGAAUAACUGCUUCUAGGCCGAGAGUAGGCAAGCUGUGGGCAAAAAAGGGGAGUUUUUGCAGCCACCUCAUCUUUAGAAACAAGGGGAAAACUAGACCGUUUUCCACUAUUAAGGUCUACCAGGUACUCUACUGCUCCAAGGAGAUCUGAAAAUACAAAAGGAUCUAAACAAAUAAGGAGAACUUUUCCCAGGCUGGAGAUAAGAAUGACAAACAGAAAGAUGGGUGAAUGUAAUAAUGUGUAGGAAGAUGAUGCUGGGAGCCUCCUUUCUUCA
rnacentral:lncRNA from 1 species